rnacentral:rRNA from 1 species
GACGAACGCUGGCGGCGUGCUUAACACAUGCAAGUCGAACGGAAAGGCCCUGCUUUUGUGGGGUGCUCGAGUGGCGAACGGGUGAGUAACACGUGAGUAACCUGCCCUUGACUUUGGGAUAACUUCAGGAAACUGGGGCUAAUACCGGAUAGGAGCUCCUGCUGCAUGGUGGGGGUUGGAAAGUUUCGGCGGUUGGGGAUGGACUCGCGGCUUAUCAGCUUGUUGGUGGGGUAGUGGCUUACCAAGGCUUUGACGGGUAGCCGGCCUGAGAGGGUGACCGGCCACAUUGGGACUGAGAUAUGGCCCAGACUCCUACGGGAGGCAGCAGUGGGGAAUAUUGCACAAUGGGCGGAAGCCUGAUGCAGCAACGCCGCGUGCGGGAUGACGGCCUUCGGGUUGUAAACCGCUUUCGCCUGUGACGAAGCGUGAGUGACGGUAAUGGGUAAAGAAGCACCGGCUAACUACGUGCCAGCAGCCGCGGUGAUACGUAGGGUGCGAGCGUUGUCCGGAUUUAUUGGGCGUAAAGGGCUCGUAGGUGGUUGAUCGCGUCGGAAGUGUAAUCUUGGGGCUUAACCCUGAGCGUGCUUUCGAUACGGGUUGACUUGAGGAAGGUAGGGGAGAAUGGAAUUCCUGGUGGAGCGGUGGAAUGCGCAGACAUCAGGAGGAACACCAGUGGCGAAGGCGGUUCUCUGGGCCUUUCCUGACGCUGAGGAGCGAAAGCGUGGGGAGCGAACAGGCUUAGAUACCCUGGUAGUCCACGCUGUAAACGGUGGGUACUAGGUGUGGGGUCCAUUCCACGGGUUCCGUGCCGUAGCUAACGCUUUAAGUACCCCGCCUGGGGAGUACGGCCGCAAGGCUAAAACUCAAAGGAAUUGACGGGGCCCCGCACAAGCGGCGGAGCAUGCGGAUUAAUUCGAUGCAACGCGUAGAACCUUACCUGGGUUUGACAUGGAUCGGGAGUGCUCAGAGAUGGGUGUGCCUCUUUUGGGGUCGGUUCACAGGUGGUGCAUGGCUGUCGUCAGCUCGUGUCGUGAGGUGUUGGGUUAAGUCCCGCAACGAGCGCAACCCUUGUUCACUGUUGCCAGCACGUUAUGGUGGGGACUCAGUGGAGACCGCCGGGGUCAACUCGGAGGAAGGUGGGGAUGACGUCAAGUCAUCAUGCCCCUUAUGUCCAGGGCUUCACGCAUGCUACAAUGGCUGGUACAGAGAGUGGCGAGCCUGUGAGGGUGAGCGAAUCUCGGAAAGCCGGUCUCAGUUCGGAUUGGGGUCUGCAACUCGACCUCAUGAAGUCGGAGUCUCUAGUAAUCGCAGAUCAGCAACGCUGCGGUGAAUACGUUCCCGGGGCU